rnacentral:rRNA from 1 species
UACAAAGGAAUUGACGGGACCGCACAAGCGGUGGAGGAUGUGGUUUAAUUCGAUGCUACGCGAAGAACCUUACCUGGGCUUGACAUGUAGGUGGUAGGGACCCGAAAGGGGACCGACCGGGGUUUAUCUCCGGAGCCUGCACAGGUGCUGCAUGGCUGUCGUCAGCUCGUGCCGUGAGGUGUAUGGUUAAGUCCCGCAACGAGCGCAACCCCUGCCUUUAGUUGCUAACCGGUUCGCCGGUGCACUCUAGAGGGACUGCCUCCGUUAAGGAGGAGGAAGGUGGGGAUGACGUCAAGUCAUCAUGGCCUUUAUACCCAGGGCUACACACGUCCUACAGUGGCCGUUACAGUGGGUUGCGACAUCGCAAGGUGAAGCGAAUCCUCAAAGGCGGCCAUGGUUCGGAUAGCAGGCUGCAAUUCGCCUGCUUGAAGACGGAAUCGCUAGUAAUCGCUGGUCAGCACGCAGCGGUGAAUACGUUCCCGGGUCUU